GGGCUCUAGACUUAACCUGUCAGCAGAGGACUAGAGGUUAGAUCACAGGCUGAACUCAGGUGACUGCCUUAGAAGUGAACCCAGGAUGAGGGAGCUGCCCCCUCCCAACAGCCGGAAUGGGGAAGGGGCAGUGGAGGUCGCCAGCUUUCCUCCCUUGACCCUGGGAGAUGGGUUGGGAGGGGCUGCACAGAAUAGCUGGUGUCCCACCCUCUAGGAGGGGCUGCUGUGGACAUCUGGGCAACAUCUGGAUUCCUGGCAGGACAGGGAACUUGUCUAUUUGAGAUCCUCCAGGGAUAUACCAUCCACCCCUUGGUGGCCCCUCAGCACUACAUUCCUGGGGAGCUCUUUACAAACAGGUGUAUAGGACCCAGCCCCGUAAUGUGGGUGAAUUCAUGCCAAUCUAGGAGGGUCCUGACAUACGUCCUUCGGAUGUGGCCUAGGGGCCUGGGCAGCAGCCUGCUCUUCUGGGCUAUUCCACCUUUCCGCCUCCUGCCCUCCUGUCGGAGUGCGCACGGUGAGAUGCUUGUCUUCCCUGUGUGGAAAUGCUGGGAAAUAGGAGGCUCUGGUGUCCAUCCUCUCCAUUCCCCUUCCUCCAGCUCUGCCAGCCCUGGCCCUGCACUGCUCAUGUCACAACCUGUGGGCACCUCCUCUGUACCAAGGGUGGAAUAGAGGCAGAUUGGGGGCUCCGGAAAAAUUCGCUGGGGUUGUGUGUCCCUACCCGCAGACUACGACGUUUCCUACAGCCAGCUGGUAUGUUUCACCCUUCGGAAUGGAUCUCUGAUGGUAGUACGUCUCCAUCAGACUAGGAGCCUCCUGAGGACAGGGGCUGCUUUAGAGGCUGGAGCUCAGAGCUCAAUGUCGGUGUCUCCUUCGUCACACUGGGGGUUCCCUGAGGCAGGGUCUGUUUACUUCCAGGAGGGCAAGUCUGUCUCCCUUCCUCCCCGCAGGCAGGUAGAGGCCCCUCCCCCAUUCGUGUAGCUUCCUGCCCACAGGGGGCGCUAGGGGCCCAGAGAACUGACAGGCGGAUGGAUCCUGUUUCUUGGGACUCAGGGCUGCUGGUUCUCUGGUGUUGAUGCACCUGGGGAUGGAGGGGCCGGGGGUGGUCCCCAUCUCGCGUGGCUGUUGACCUGGUCCUGGCCCUUGCUCUGGCAGUCGAGGCCAGGCCUGUCUGGCCAGAGGCUGUGGCCAGCAUGUGGGAGAAGCUCCAAGUGUGGUUACCCACAGUUUCUGCCAGGAAGGGACAGUGUGGCCCUUGGCGCAGAACGGCGCUGCGCAUCUCCUCUCUCCUCAUUACCAUGGCCACCAAGCCCUAUCCUCCAUCACCCUCACUAGACCCCACUGCCCGGCCUUUGCUUGUGCUGUUCUCUCCACCUGCUGCACCUGCUCUUCCUGUCUGUGAGGACAGCUGAAGUGCCACUGCUUCUCCUGGAGCUCUGGUCUUCAGCAGGGUAGGUAUGGCCAAGAAGGCUGCUGGUGCCCGGGGGUCUUCUGAUGAAAAGAACUCUCCAUCUACUCCCUCCUUCCUCACCCACCUGAGCCACAGGGACCAAAGAGGGGAUAAGGUGGGAGUGGGGGAGAUGGGAAGGUGGAGGCAACGUAGGUGGAAAGGGGGCAAGAAGAAGCCUCAGCCUCCAUCUUCUCCCACUCUGCCCCGUGUAGCCCCUUCCCAAAUCCCCUCAUCCCCUCGUUGCCUCUGAACUCUCUUCCCCUGAAGCUGAGGGAAGCCCUGGAGGAGCCCUUUCUCACGGUCACAGCCUCAACAACCCCCACCCCCUGCUCCUUUGGCCACAGCCACCUCGGCCUCUGCAGAGCCCAGGCCUGGCCCACCCGUCCCUGCAGGGCCCCCUCCUUGGGCUGGGGCGCCUGCUUCCGCGAGUGGCAUCAUCACCCCACUCCUCAGGCUGCCCAGUCAUCAGGUCAGCAAUUAGCUACUUCCUCUCGGCUGCAUGAGGCCACUGAACGUCACAGCCCCUCCCCCCGGCCAGCCGCCCGCGGGAGUGCUGGGGGGUGCCCCCCACACUUUGUAGUCAAUGCCAAGUCCUGGCUCAAUCCCCCCAGUCUACUGAGUACCGGGGUAAUGAGACUCCCUGUGCUCCUGGGGGCGGGAGAAGCGUUCCUGCUGCCUCCUCCCCUCGUGUCACCCCAUCCCAUUGGGUGAGGACACUCCAGCUGCCAGGGUGGGGCGGUGCUGGCUCAAGGGCACCUGCGGCUGGAGCUGGCGAGGCUUGAGACUUAGGUGCCCCUGUUCCCAGUCCUAGGCAGUUUUCACCAGGCUCUCUCGCCUGGGGCCUGGGAGUCUGAGAACUGAGGAUGCUGGCAGUUAUCUGAUAAGGGGGGAGAGAUGGGGGAGGCACCCUACAGACGCCCAAGCCUGCAGGGGGACAGGCUUUUCAUGAACAUCCACAGGGGCUUGCACCCUGUGCCUAGGCACUUUCACAGGUACACCCUGUGCAAUGUAUGUCCCACCACAGCCGUGCCCUCAUGGGUCCCUGGGGGCAGCCCACCUGCAGGUGUGCCAGCAUGCCCAGACACCCCCUCCUCCAAAUGUGUGCUCACUGACAUGUUCACAGAGAGAAUAAGCUCACUACCACACCAAAACCAAAACCAGGACACCAUGGAGGAGCCCAGGAGGGUGGAAUCAGAGAGACCACCCCAAACCUGCCCCCCACCGCUCCUUGGGCCAGAGGGUCUUCCCGGGGAAGGUCGGGGGGGGGGGGGGGGGGGGGGGAGGCUGCACUUCCAGGGUGUGGGUGUGUGGUAGGCAGGGAGACGGUGGGAGGAGCUGGGGCUGAGUCUGGAGGAAGGGCUAGGGCGUGGAUUUCCAGAGAGAAUAAAAGCAUUCCAACAAAUAUAAACAAAUGUGUGUAAUCUUAGGCAGAUCAUUUAACUCCUUAGGGCCUCAGCAAUAGCAUCUGUAAAAUGGGGAUGAUGAGAAUACUACUUAAACUUGGUUGUGAGGUUUAAAUGAGUUAACUGGCCAGAGCAGGCCCUGACUGACAUUACUAUUGAGGAGACCCUCCCAAUGUCCUGUCUCUGGGGGCAGGUUUGCCCGAAAGGGGCUGCACUAGGUCUUCCCUGACCAUGUGCUCACCUCUGUCUUUCUCCAUUUCCUGGAAAUGCCGAGGCGUGGCGGGUGAUUGGCUACUCUCUGGAUUGGCCUAGGGGCAGGGCCUGGGAGGGGCUGGCUACCUGCCCCACCCCUACCUGGCUGGCACAACAGGUAACUGAGUGCUGGCUUCUAACCCUGGGAGAGAAUGAGUCAGCCAGCACCACUCCAUCCAGGCAAAUGGGGUGCAGGGGACAGGAGCUUGGGUGGAGGGGCCUUCUAGGAACGUUCCUGGAAGAGGACCUGGGAACGGAUGCUGCCGCCAGGAGCCACCACCUCAGCUUACCAGCCUGUGCCCAAUUCAGCAAACACCCUUGUCCUUGCUUCUCACAGCUCACUCUCUGGAUUCAUGAGGCAAGGCCCUGCUGGCCCACCCUGGCUGGCUCCAAACACGGCUUCAACCACAGCAGGGAGCCAGGCCUGCUGCCACCAUGCUGCCUUGCCACCCUUCUCAGCUUGUCCAGCAGGGUGUCCAUGGACACAGGGGCACACACACUCUCACUUACAUGUGCCCACGGCCACAUGAGCACAACCAGAGACACCAAUGCAGACACGUUCUCACAAGCACAUGCACACACACUGUCAGUACUCCCUCACACUUGUACGCACCCACAUAGACAUUCGUGUACACUCACAAUUUCAUACAACCACACUCAUGUACAGCCACACAUGCAGAGUCGUAAUCACUGCUGUUGGUGGAAUUGUGUCCCCCAAAAGAUAUGUUGACAUCCUAACCCCUACUACCUGGGAACAUGACCUUAGUUGGAAAUAGAGUCUUUGUAGGUGUAAUCAAGUUUUAAGAUGAGAUCUUACUGGAUUAGAGUGGGCCCUAAAUUUGAUGACUGGUGUCUUUUAGGGAGAGAGAGAUUUGUAGACACAGCGACUCGGAGACACACAGGGAAGAUGGACACAUGAUGAUGGAGGCAGAGAUUGGAGUGAUGCAGCUGUAAGCCAAGGAACACCGGGGAUUGCUGGCAAACGCCAGGAGCUAGGAGAGAGGCAUGCAACAGACUCCCUCAGAGCCUCCAGAAGGAACCAAACCUGCUGACACGUUGAUUUUGGACUCUGGCCUCCUUAACUACGAGAGAGUAAAUUUCUGUUGGUUUAAGCCACCAAGUCUGUGGUAAUUUGUUAUGGCAGCUCUAGGAAACGAAUACAGUCACACACACACACGUGCACACACACACACGCACACACACACAUGCUGCUGGCUCUAGGCUCAGUGACGAGGUUGGUGGAGUUCCUCUUGGGAGCUGCUCUGCCUCUGUCCUCCUUCCCCUGUGGCUGGUCCCAUGAACCCAAAAAAGCUCAUGGCCCAGGGCAGGAGCAUGAUAAUUUUCAAUCCCUCCUUCCCUCCCUGGAGUUGUUAACUAAGCAUCCCCCUCAAAAUCUGCUCUCAGGAUGGGUUGCCAUGUUUACGUGCACUGAAAGACAUGUCCAAGAAUGCUAUGGCUGCUUUACUGCUAUUAAUUAAAAACUGGAAACAACCCAAAUGUCUAUCAACAGCAGAAUAGAUAAUAAAUUGUGGCAUAGCCACGCAAUGGAAGGCUGCUCAGACAGGAAAAAGGAAGACGUAAUGCUGCAGGAAUAGCAUGGAUGACCCUCACAGACCCCACACUGACCACACUGGGCCCCAUACAAAGAAUGUAUGCUCUGGAGUCCGUGUGCGUGAGGUUCAAGAACAAAGCCAACCCGUGGUGAUAAA
rnacentral:lncRNA from 1 species